UACGGCUCAGUAACACGUGGAUAACUGCCCUAAGGAAGGGGAUACCCUCGGGAAACUGAGGAUAAUACCCUAUAGGUUACCGAUGCUGGAAUGCUCGGUAACUCAAAGUUCCGGCGCCUUAGGAUGGAUCUGCGGCCGAUUAGGUAGUUGUUGGGGUAACGGCCCAACAAGCCCGUAAUCGGUACGGGUUGUGGGAGCAAGAGCCCGGAGUUGGAUUCUGAGACACGAAUCCAGGCCCUACGGGGCGCAGCAGGCGCGAAAACUUUACAAUGCGGGCAACCGUGAUAAGGGAACCUCGAGUGCCUGUACAUGCAGGCUGUCUGGGUGUCUAAAACACACMCAAAGAAAGGGCCGGGCAAGACCGGUGCCAGCCGCCGCGGUAAUACCGGCGGCUCGAGUGGUGGCCACUUUUAUUGGGCUUAAAGCGUUCGUAGCUGGGUUGUUAAGUCUCUUGGGAAAUCCGGCGGCUUAACCGUCGGGCGUCUAAGAGAUACUGGCAAUCUUGGAACCGGGAGAGGUGAGGGGUACUUCGGGGGUAGGAGUGAAAUCCUGUAAUCCUCGAGGGACCACCUGUGGCGAAGGCGCCUCACCAGAACGGCUUCGACAGUGAGGGACGAAAGCUGGGGGAGCAAACCGGAUUAAAUACCCGGGUAGUCCCAGCCGUAAACGAUGUGCGUUUGGCUUUCCCGACCACAAGUCGUCGAGGUGCCGARGGGAAACCGUGAAACGUACCGCCUGGAAGKAC
rnacentral:rRNA from 1 species